GACGAACGCUGGCGGCGUGCCUAAUACAUGCAAGUAGAACGCACAGUUUAUACCGUAGCUUGCUACACCAUAGACUGUGAGUUGCGAACGGGUGAGUAACGCGUAGGUAACCUGCCUGGUAGCGGGGGAUAACUAUUGGAAACGAUAGCUAAUACCGCAUAAUAUUGAUUAUUGCAUGAUAAUUGAUUGAAAGAUGCUAUUGCAUCACUACCAGAUGGACCUGCGUUGUAUUAGCUAGUAGGUGAGGUAACGGCUCACCUAGGCGACGAUACAUAGCCGACCUGGGAGGGUGGUCAGCCACACUGGGACUGGGACACGGCCCAGACUCCUUCGGGAGGCAGCAGUAGGGAAUCUUCGGGAAUGGACGAAAGUCUGACCGAGCAACGCCGCGUGAGUGAAGAAGGGUUUCGGAUCGUAAAGCUCUGUUGUAAGAGAAGAACGGGUGUGAGAGUGGAAAGUUCACACUGUGACGGUAUCUUACCAGAAAGGGACGGCUAACUACGUG
rnacentral:rRNA from 1 species